UCAUCUUCAAUACGUUAGCUGUGAUCACUUUGCUGGUAACGGUGAAUGCAAGAGCAACGUGUUCAAGUGCGGAAAAAUGCUUAGGUAUACCUUGAAGCUG
rnacentral:lncRNA from 1 species